rnacentral:lncRNA from 1 species
GUACCCGUCUUUAUCUCUCAACAAAUCGUCGUUAUGUUCGAGUCCUAGAUCUGUCUGGACCGCAAGGUUUCUUCAAAGACAUUACCGAUGGUAUACCAUUCCCAAUGCUUUCUGCGGAUAUGUCCUGCGAUUCUAGCAUUGCGGUUACAACAUCAGGGCAGGUUCUGUUGGUUGAGAGUGAUCCAUGCAAUAGGACCUGCUUCCGCCUCUACAAGAAGAAUCCUGAUAUUGAAAACCCUGAUCUCUUCGGCCACACGGUUACUGAGGUAGAUUCUCUUAAUGGUGAGGCCCUGCUUCUUGACUUGGGUUACACUGUGCCU